AGUUGAUACAGAUAUAUGGGCUAAAAGUCCAAGAUUGCAGCAACAACUUGGGUCAUAUUCCAGUUACAGGUAUAAAAGAGUAGUCUACUAAAUCAACUUUUAUCUGUUGGAGUUUGAAAAGUCGAUAUUUUCUCAGUCACAUUUCAUGCAAUGCAUUAUCAGGUGAUUUAUGUUGCAAAUUAUACAAGAAACUAGAUUCAAGACAAACAAGAAUAUACUCGGAUGCUUUACAAAGAUACGGAUCGCAACUUACCAGGCU